rnacentral:rRNA from 1 species
AUUGAACGCUGGCGGCAUGCUUUACACAUGCAGGUCGAACGGUAACAGGCCGCAAGGUGCUGACGAGUGGCGAACGGGUGAGUAAUGCAUCGGAACGUGCCCAGUCGUGGGGGAUAACUACUCGAAAGAGUAGCUAAUACCGCAUACGAUCUAUGGAUGAAAGCGGGGGACCGUAAGGCCUCGCGCGAUUGGAUCGGCCGAUGUCAGAUUAGGUAGUUGGUGGGGUAAAGGCUCACCAAGCCAACGAUCUGUAGCUGGUCUGAGAGGACGACCAGCCACACUGGGACUGAGACACGGCCCAGACUCCUACGGGAGGCAGCAGUGGGGAAUUUUGGACAAUGGGCGCAAGCCUGAUCCAGCAAUGCCGCGUGCAGGAAGAAGGCCUUCGGGUUGUAAACUGCUUUUGUACGGAACGAAACGGCUCUGGUUAAUACCCGGGGCUAAUGACGGUACCGGAAGAAUAAGCACCGGCUAACUACGUG